GAUGAACGCUGGCGGCGUGCCUAAUACAUGCAAGUCGAGCGAACGGACGAGAAGCUUGCUUCUCUGAUGUUAGCGGCGGACGGGUGAGUAACACGUGGAUAACCUACCUAUAAGACUGGGAUAACUUCGUGAAACCGGAUCUAAUACCGGAUAAUAUUUUGAACCGCAUGGUUCAAAAGUGAAAGACGGUCUUGCUGUCACUUAUAGAUGGAUCCGCGCUGCAUUAGCUAGUUGGUAAGGUAACGGCUUACCAAGGCAACGAUGCAUAGCCGACCUGAGAGGGUGAUCGGCCACACUGGCACUGAGACACGGUCCAGACUCCUACGGGAGGCAGCAGUAGGGAAUCUUCCGCAAUGGGCGAAAGCCUGACGGAGCAACGCCGCGUGAGUGAUGAAGGUCUUCGGAUCGUAAAACUCUGUUAUUAGGAAAGAACAUAUGUGUAAGUAACUGUGCACAUCUUGACGGUACCUAAUCAGAAAGCCCCGGCUAACUACGUG
rnacentral:rRNA from 1 species